UCUGGUGGUCACAGCACGAGGUAAACACCCGAUCCCAUCUCGAACUCGGCCGUUAAGACCCGUUGCGCCAAUGGUACUGCGUCUCAAGACGUGGGAGAGUAGGUCGCCGCCAGGC
rnacentral:rRNA from 1 species